rnacentral:lncRNA from 1 species
GACUUUCAGGACUGCAGGGGAAAGGGUGGACACCCAGCCUCCCGCCAGGAGGAUACAAAAAUACAUCAGUUUGCAAACCAGAAGAAGGUCCUCACCAGAAACCAACUAUGCUGGCACCCUGAUCUUGGACUUCUAGCCUCCAGAACUGUGAGAAAUAAAUGUGUGUUUAUAAACCAGUCAGUCAGUCUAUGGUGCUUUAUUAUAGCAUCUGGAACGAGCUAAGACAGCUGCUAAGUAGCAUUCCAUUUGACAAGGAAGACUUACCAUUCACACUACUUCUGAGUUCAAUGAAAGAGAGGCUCGGUUCCUUACCUGUAAAAUAGAGAUCAUAUAGAGAUGUCGGGAAGAUUUAAUAACAUCAUGCAAGCAAUAUGCCUACAAGAGUGCCUGUAAAACAUUAAGCCUUGGAAAUAAAAGAAGCAGAACUGUAACAUCCUGAGAAAACACAGAGACAUUGAAGUAUAUGAGCACGACACAUCUGCAAAUCUUUAAGCAAGCAAUAGAAAACUUAUACAGUACUUUCUAUGGUCAGUUGUGAUCAUAAAAAGAGAGUAAGAAGAAAAACAACUCUGAAAGACAAGAUUUGGUUUCUCUCUUUCAUUGUACACAGAAAAUAAGACUUGACCAUCUGGAAAAAGGAAGCCUGAGAAUGAAUAUAUAAGAAGAGGACAUAAAAUGGUGGAAAGAGAAAGCAUGGU